GAGGGAGGCUUCCAGUGAAAACAAGAAAGCCUGCUGGACAAAUUCUAAAAAAGCUGUAACACUGACAGGGGGCUGGAGCCCUGGGCCAAGGGAGACCUGUGACCCCAGGUGCCGCCGGGAGAACUUCAGCCCAGAGGGGAAAUCAGCUCUCCGUGACCCAGCACCCCUACCCAGCAGCGCAACAGAUCCUGAGAGGAGCUACAGGAUGAUUCUAGAAACAGCGCACUUCAGGAAUCAUGUUGCAGGUGUUGUGCAUUGGAUCCACCACAGUCGGCUGAAACUGACAACUCAAGACAAGUGGACCAGCCAGCAGGACCCAGAUCAUCCAACUCGGCUGAUCCUGAGACGGGACCAAACUGCUGCCGAAGACGACCGCCCUGUUCUGGUCACUCCGGAGGCUAACCAGCCUACGCAUGGCUGAAGUUUGAGGAAACAACAAGCCCUGCUCUAGUCACACACUGAAAGCUGACUAGUCUAUGCACGGCCAAAGCUUGAGGACUCAUCAAGCAAGUAAAUGUAGUUAGAAAUCUUAGAACUAGUAGUUUUCCUUGUAAUAUUAACUGUUUUACUAUUGUUCUGUCACUGUGCUCAACCUCCUCUCCCAAAUAAGGACCUCUUCUGUCCUUACUAGAUAUGAAUAUACUGUACAUUGUUUUACUGUUGUUACCCCACUUAACCAUGCUAGAAGAAACACCCAUAGAAGGGUGUCCCCAUCGUACACAUACUACAUGGUCAGAAAACAGUAUAACCAGGACUCUAUUAUACCAUACUUAUUAUGAGUAUACAGGGACUCACCUAGGAACUUGUACUUACAAUCAGAUCACCUAUUCAAUUUAUGACCCAGGAAAUGGCCAGCUACCUAGGUGGAAGAUAGGUCAUGGAGUUACCGUACUCCUACUUACGUGCUUAAGCGCAUCAUAAGGUUACAGGCAGGGCUUGAGAUCAUCACUAAUAAACAUCAAAUGCAUUAGAUUUACUGACCCAGCAAGCUACAAAAAAUGAGGAAUGCUAUCUAUCAGAACAGAUUAGCUUUAGACUAUCUCCUAGCCCAGGAAGGAGGAGUAUGUGGAAAAUUCAAUCUAACUAAUUGUUGCCUGGAAAUCAAUGACAAUGGAAAGACAUUUAUGGAAAUAACUGCAAGAAUAAGAAAAUUAACCCACGUUCCAGUUCAAACGUAGAAAGGGUGGUCUCCAGAUUCUCUCUUUGGAGGCUGUUUUUCAUUUUUCGGAGGGUUCAAGACUUUAAUAAGAUUGAUUCUGGCCAUACUAGGAAGUUGCCUAAUACUACCUUGUCUCUUACCUCUCCUUGUUAGAAACAUUCAGUCAACUAUAGAGGCAAUAGUAGCUAGGCAAACUACCAGUCAGCUAAUGGCUCUAUGUAAAUGUCAACCUUUGUCUAAAGAAGAAAACUUGUCUCUUCAUGCAAAAUUAAAUAAUAGUGAUGCCUCCUAUUAAAUUUCUUUUAUAAAAGGCAUCAAAGGGGGGAAACUGAGGCAGAAAUUUAAAAAUAAAUAUGCAUUCAUUCACUCCAAGAAAAGUUAACAGGCAAGGCAAGGGUUAAAAAGAAAAGAACAAGUUUUCCUCGGCCUAGCAAGCUCACUUCAAGGACAGUUAUAAGAUAAUGUUGUUUGAGAAGCCAAGUCCAAAGGAAUGGGUUCCAGACAUCCCUCCCCUCUAGAACAAGGUUGAAGGAAAAAAAAAAAAAAAGAAGAAGACAAAUUCCUUUACUGUUACUCCUUUCCCUGGCUUCUUAAGCAUGAUUAUGUUUUACAAAUGUCUGUAUUUAGCCAGUUCUUGAUUUUCUUUUGACACAGCUCCAAGGCCACCAGCUAUGCAAGGCCACAAGUUAUGCACUAUAUGAUUAACUGCUUUUGUUUUACUUUUGUAAGUCCACUUAUAAAAACCCUGCUCUGUCUUUGUUUAAUGCUCAGCUUUUUGGAUUUGAAUCCACUCAGCCGGUGCACACCUUAAAAUAAACAUCCUCCUGUACUCUCAUAUUGGUCUCUCCAUUCCUCAGUUUCCCACAAGAUUACAAGCAUGAGCCACCGCACCGGGCCCAUUUUAACCAUUUUCAAAUGGAGAAUUCAGUGGUAUUAGGUACAUUUAUAUUGUUGUGCAACCAUCACCACUAUCCAUCUACAGAACUCUUUUUAUCUUGUGAAACUAAAACUCUAUACCCAUUAAACACUAACUCCUCACUCCUCCCUUCCCUCAUCACUUGACAGCCAUCCUUCUACUUUAUGUCUCUAUUCAUAGGUAUGAGCUCCCCCAUGCCUGCCCAAAUCACUAAUCUAAAAGGAAAUGUCAAGCUGAGAACUUCUUAGGGCAAACCUGCCUCCCAUUCUAUUCAAAGUUACCCCUCUGCUCAGAGAUAAAUGCAUAUCUCAUUGCCUCCUUUGGAGAAGCUAAUCAGAAACUCAAAAGAAUGCAACCAUUUGUCUCUUUUCUACCUAUGACCUGGAAGCCCCCUCCCUGCUUUGAGCUGUCCCGCCUUUCUGGACCAAACCAAUGUUCAUCUUACAUAUAUUAACUGAUGUCUCAUUUCUCCCUAAAAUGUAUAAAACCAAGCUAUGGUCUGACUACCCUGGGCACAUGACAUCAGGACCUCCUGAGACUGCGCCAUGGGUGCACAUCCUCAACUGUGGCAAAAUAAACUUUAUUUU
rnacentral:lncRNA from 1 species